CAGCAAGACUGGUUUCUUCCAGAGGCUCCAGAGGGGAAUCUGUUUCCUUGCCUUGUGUAACAUCUGGAAGCUAACAAUAUUACUUGGCUUUUGGCCCUAUCCUGUUUCAAAGCCUGUGGCAUAGCGUCUUCUAUCUCUUUUAGCAUCUGCUUAUCUCUGCUUCAAUCAUCAUAUGGCCUUUUUCUUCUAUAGUUAAAAUCUCACUCCACCUCCCUCUUAAAGGAUGUUUGUAAUUACAUUUAGAGCCUACUCAGAUAAUGCAGGAUAAUCUUCCCAUUUCAAUAGCCAGCUGUGAUUAAGUUAAUAGCCACAACUGCAAAGUAACAUUCAUAGAUUCCAGAGAUUAGAGUGUGGAUAUCUGUGGAGGCUUCAUUCAGCACACCACACCCAGCAAUCCCCUUUAUAGAAACAAGGUACCAAGAAAUGUUCAUCAGUAAAGGGAUUUCUAUAUAAAUUAUGAUCUAGCCAAACAAAAGAACAUUAUUCCCCUAUUGAUAUGUGUAUUGAUCUAGAAAAAUCUUCAUGAUUUAUAUACUGAAAGAUGCAAUUUGAAAAUGUAUAUAUAGCAUGAUUUUAUCUUAAUUUAACAAAAAAAAGUAUAUAUGGGUACAGAUCCAAAGAGGAAGAGAGAGGUGCUUGUUUAAAUAAAGGAAAAACCUAGAAAACAUUUCUGCCAAACUCUUAACAGAGAAUGUGGAAUGGGAGAGGAGUUUGUAAAUUAGAGGGCUUAAGAAGGGCCUUUAAUUUACUGUAUAUAAUUUUUUUGUGGUUGCCUAUAGGUGUUAUUUACUAUUUUUAGUAUUUUUCAAAUUAAAACCCUUUAUUUUCCUUUAAGAGAAACAUUUUCCUUUCUUUACCUGCAUGUCAAUCUUCUCUUUCAGUUAGCUCUUUCCUUACCAAAUUCCAAAGAUGCCCAGUUUGCCCUAUCAAAAAUCCCUCCCCAGAUCUUGUUCUUUCUUCUAGCUACCAUGCACUAAUUUGCCUCACAUUUCCUCUCUUUUCCUCAAGAUCACAAAAGAAGGGUCUAAUGAUUAUAGUGGAUUAUCUAUUUCCCCUAACUUCACCUUCUUGCCGUUUAAUUCAUUACACUCUGGCUCCUGUGUAAAUCCUCUUCUGAAACUAUUGUCUGCAACUAUUCUUCUCCUCCUGGCCAGAUUAGAACUGUCUCCUUGACAUCUGCAGUUUUCAACAGCUUUGACAGUUUUUUCCUCUAUAUUGUGUUUUCCUUGUUUUUGAUGAUGUUAAAAACAUAACUUCCUACUCGUUUUCUGGUUUUUCCAUGUCUUAUCCUACUUCAUUCUAACCUGGACAUAUUAUUAUUAGUCACGCCUUUUCCUCUCCUUUGAUUUGUUAUAGCCUCUCUUGGAGUCCUCAUCAAUUGUCACAUCUAUGCAAAAAAAUCUGCAAUACUGUAUGCCCCACUUCUCUCUAAAACCAAAUGAUACUUUGCCAGAUGCUUGAUGAACAAUCUACCAGUACAUCAAACCUCGAAAACAAACUCAUCUUACCCCUGAAACAACCCCCUUCCUGUUGUCCCUUUUUCUAUUAGUCUCUUAGAAACCCAAAAUUAAAAUCUCAGUAUGUUAGAGUAAAAUCUAAAGUGAAACAGACCUGAAUUCAAAACCAAACUUUCCCACUUAAAUCCUGUAUUACUUCAAUUUGUAUUAAAUCUCUACAGACUUGAUUUUGUGUAAAAUAGGAACAAUACCUACUGUGAAAGGUGAUUAUGCUUAGUACAGUGCCUGGCCUACUGGCUUCCACCUUCCCUUCCAUCAAACAUUCAGAUACUAAGUCCUAUUCUUUCUCUCUCCUCAGUGCCUAGACAAUUGCAGUCAAAUCUUAACAUCUCCCUGCCUUCAGUCUCUCCCCGCAAAUCUAACACACCACUAGCCAGUGCUCCCUUUGUACACAUUAAUCAGCAGUACAAAACCCUCACCGAUUUCCCUACAGUCUUCUUUUAUUCAACUCCACAAACUUGAGGUGUGCCAACCAAUAAUGUACCCCCCUUACAUGACAUACUUUCUCACCCAGGCAGCAAUGGAAGAGGAAAAUCAGAACCUCUUGGGGAGGAAGUUGCUAUAGACUGAAUAUUUGUGUCCCCCCAAAUUCCUAUGUCGGGAAUGCUAAGCCCCAGUAUGAUCAUAUUUGGAAAAUGGUUAGAUCAUGAGAAUUGAGUCUUUAUUAAUGAUUAGUGCCCUUAUAAAAGAAACCCCAGAGAGCUCCCCACCCUCUUUGGCCAUGAAGUAGGCGCUCAACAGACACCAAUCUGCUGGUGCCUUGAUCUUGGACCCCCCAGCCUCCAGAACUGUGAGAAAUAAAUUUCCAUUGUUGUUAAGUCCCCUGGUCUAUGGCAUUCUGUUGUAACAGCCCAAAUGGACUGUUUCAGGAGAGCACAAGCAUCUCUGCUAGCAAUUUCUAUAGGCAUCCCUAAAACGAAUAUACAUUGUCAUCCUACCUUCACCAAGGGUGGUUGAGAACCCUGGCUUCAAAAAUACUCUCCUCGCAGUGUUCCCUGGUGGCCUAGCAGUUGAGCAUCCUGCAUUGUCACUGGUGUAACACAGGUCCAGUCCCUGGCCCUGGAAGUUCUACAUGCCAUGGCCACGGCCAAAAGAAGUAGUCUCUUCACCCUCUCACCCUAACCUGCUCCAGUCAAUUCUCCUAUGUUCCCCCUUUGCUCUCAAUCAUCAUUUCAUUUCAAAAUGUAAAACACAUUAUUUCUGCAACUCAUUCUCUAUAAGAAUCUCAUUUCGUAAGUUUUCUUUUCAGCCCCACUAGAUGAAUUUUCUUGAGGACAGGACCAUAACUUUUUCUAUUCCAUAUUUCUAUCACCUUUUAAUAAAACUGUGUUGAAAAAGUAAAUGAACAAAUAAUGACAAGCUCUAAAUAAAUAAACACUGAAUAAAGUGUAACUACCUGAUAUAACUUAUUUGAUGCAAUGUUGCAUGUUUUCAGAUGUUUAAAAUAAUUUUGCACAUUCUAUUAGAAGUGCUUUAUAUAUAUAUAUGUAUUUACACAUAUAUAUGUAUACAUAUAUAUAAAAUAAAGUGAAGGCCUGUUUGUAGUUCUAACUAUCUUUUUUGGGUAAAAUGAAAUUUUUAUAAUAUGGAUUAUCUUGAAUGAGUAAUGUAUAGCACAAUUUUACUUUUUUAUGUUUCUUGUUAAAUUAUAAUCUUUAGAAAUAUUGUAUGUUCACCAUAUUCUUCGGUACAUGAAUAUUAUUAUCCUAAUUAUAAUACUUGUUUCCUACUUUUUUCCAGAACAUAGUAAAUAAAAUGUCACAUAGAGUAGAAUACCUAUUCCCUAUUUCUGUUCCAGAUUUGUGGUUUUCUGAAUACUGACUUCCAGCAACAGAUACUUCCAUCAAAGUGCUAUUUUUUUGUCUUUUUUUUUUUUUAGAGCCUCACCCGCAGCAUAUAGAGGUUCUCAGGCUAGGGGUCAAGUUGGAGCUAUAGCUGCUGGCCUACACCACAGUUCACGUCAAUGCCAGAUCCUAAACCCACUGAGGAAGGCCAGGGAUUGAACCUGAGUCCUCUUGGAUGCUAGUUAGAUUCGUUUCCACUGAGCCACAAUGGGAACUCCUAAAGUGCUAUUUUUUAUAGAUCACUGAUUUUCCGAACUUAGAUGGAGAACUCUUUCAUUAAACAAAAUAUUGUGCAGACACUUAACACAUAAAACAGAACCACUGCAGUUGAGGGAGAAAAAAAAAGGCAGAAAGAAUGUAAACCCCACUAAUUUAGAGUUCUUGUCCCCUAAACUGUUUACUGACUACUAACUCCAAGUAACCCCUGAAACACUUAGGUGAAGUACCUAGGAGCACAGAGAGUCCAUCCUGAAAGUUAGUUCUGGGCUAUAUCUAUUUUGACUUUCUUCUAAACCCCAAACAAAUUUUUUAAGUCAGAAAUACGUGAAACCUCAAAAUUUAGUUAUUUUGAAUAUAUGUGAUAUAUUUGCAGCCUAACUGCUCUGUAUCUAUCAUAAUACUAAAUACUCAUCAACCUAUUUAUAAAUGUCUAUUAAUAUACACCAUUUGUAUAUAAAUCUAAAUCCUUAAAUCCAACUCCUAGUCUAUUUUAAAAUAGACAAAGAAUUUUUUAUUUAUUUUUAAAUGUUUUUUUUUUCCCAUUAUAGUUGGUUUACAGUGUUCUGUCAGAUUGUUCUGUUUAAAUUGAAGUGAAGGAAAGUGCUAUCCACCUUUGGUAAGAAUUUAGGGAAAGGAUAGUUUGUCACCUUUGUAAAGAGAGUGAGGAGAGACAACAUCUUACCACUCUUGUUUGCGUCAUUUCAGCCUUUGGCAGCUGGUGGAGCAUGGGCUAUCAGUCACGUAAUUGUAAUGUCACAUCAAGCACACGGAGGAACUAUGAUUGUGUAGAGCCCAUGGACAAGUGAUCUCCAAAAGAGCCUUGUGGUAUGUAAGAUAAAAGUAUUGUAUCCAGAAAAAUACAAAUCCAUUAGUUGUUACUUACAUUAUCUGACUGUUAUAUGUUUAUAAAUUGAAGCUACUUCUUUAAAAUUAAAAUGAAUAUUACAGUUGGAAACUUUUGAGUUUUUUAUGAUCAUUACAGUAAACAGUUGGCAGAAAGGAGACAGCCAAAUAUGAAAAGAAACAUUACCAUAGCUGACACACUUGUCUUCUAAUCAAUUAAAUGGUUCUUUUUGCCUGUUGGAAAUAAAAAGGUAACAUCAAAGCUUACAUAACUUUAGUGGGGGAGGGUUGAAUGGGCAGAACAUAGAGGAUUUUUUUGGGGCAGUGAGAGUAUUCUGUAGGAUACUAUAAUGGUAGAUACAUGUCAUUAUAAAUUUGUUCAAACCCAUAGAAUGUAGAAUAUCCAUAGAAUGUAGAAUACCCAUAGAAUGUAGAAUACCCAUAGAAUGUAGAAUACCCAUAGAAUGUAGAGUGAAUCCAAACUAAUAUGAACUAUAGAUUUUGGGUGAUAAUGACAUGGUUAACGUCAUUACGCCAUUUGUAACAGAGGUACCACUCUGGUGGGAAAUAUUGAUAAAGGAGGAGGCUAUGUAUGUAUGUUUGUGGGGAUGGAAGGUAUAUGGGAAAUCUCUGCACCUAUUGUUCAACUUUGCUAUGAAUGUAAAACUGCUCUAAAAGCAAAAGUUUCAACUGUUAGAAAUUAUAUUUUAUUAAUAUAGGUGUUAUAAACAAAAUUUUAUUUCCUGCUUUUAUAUUUGAACUACCCAAUAGGUUUAAUCUGAUAUUUGAAAGCCCCAUGGAAGUUUCAGCAGGAAAAAUGGACAACACUG
rnacentral:lncRNA from 9 species